CAGUCGAGGGGCAGCGGGGAGGAAGCUUGCUUUCUCCGCCGGCGACCGGCGCACGGGUGAGUAACGCGUAUCGAACCUGCCUCAUACUCGGGAAUAGCCUUGCGAAAGUAAGAUUAAUGCCAGAUGUUUUCAGUGGUCCGCAUGAACUGCUGAACAAAGAUUUAUCGGUAUGAGAUGGCGAUGCGUCCCAUUAGCUUGUUGGCGGGGUAACAGCCCACCAAGGCAUCGAUGGGUAGGGGUUCUGAGAGGAAGGCCCCCCACAUUGGAACUGAGACACGGUCCAAACUCCUACGGGAGGCAGCAGUGAGGAAUAUUGGUCAAUGGACGCAAGUCUGAACCAGCCAAGUAGCGUGCAGGAUGACGGCCCUCCGGGUUGUAAACUGCUUUUAGUUGGGAAUAAAGUGCAACUCGUGAGCUGUUUUGUAUGU
rnacentral:rRNA from 1 species